UCCUCGGGUGACGAGUGGCGGACGGGUGAGUAAUGUCUGGGAAACUGCCCGAUGGAGGGGGAUAACUACUGGAAACGGUAGCUAAUACCGCAUAACGUCGCAAGACCAAAGUGGGGGACCUUCGGGCCUCACACCAUCGGAUGUGCCCAGAUGGGAUUAGCUWGUAGGCGGGGUAACGGCCCACCUAGGCGACGAUCCCUAGCUGGUCUGAGAGGAUGACCAGCCACACUGGAACUGAGACACGGUCCAGACUCCUACGGGAGGCAGCAGUGGGGAAUAUUGCACAAUGGGCGCAAGCCUGAUGCAGCCAUGCCGCGUGUAUGAAGAAGGCCUUCGGGUUGUAAAGUACUUUCAGCGGGGAGGAAGGUGKUGAGGUUAAUAACCUCAKCAAUUGACGUUACCCGCAGAAGAAGCACCGGCUAACUCCGUGCCAGCAGCCGCGGUAAUACGGAGGGUGCAAGCGUUAAUCGGAAUUACUGGGCGUAAAGCGCACGCAGGCGGUCUGUUAAGUCAGAUGUGAAAUCCCCGGGCUUAACCUGGGAACUGCAUUUGAAACUGGCAGGCUUGAGUCUCGUAGAGGGGGGUAGAAUUCCAG
rnacentral:rRNA from 1 species